UCUGACACACUGGCUGGAGGGUGACAAGCUGCAUUUGGAGAUGAGAGUUCAAGGCAUCAUUGCCAAGCAAGUCUUUAAGAAGGCUGAUUGAAGUAAGUGAAAAUCUGUUUUAGUGAAAUUAUUCUUAAGGUUAUACAGUUAAAGAGAUACUUUGCCUCUGUUUG